UUUGUCCCUAACUCUGAUGCAUGAGAGGAGAGAGGAGAAUGAAAGGCACCUGACGCUGGAGCGCCCAUAAGACAGAUACGAAGAUAAUUGGCUGUGCUGCAACAAGAGGGGGCUUGCGGAUGAGAGGCUCACCAGGUCCUGCUCCCAUUUGACAGGCCAGUACAGUUUUAUCUACAAACUCUUCUCAUAUGUGUCUGCUGCUACUUAGUUGUACAUACUCACAUUUAUAGUGGGAACACAUUUAGUUGGGUGUAUAUAUUUAUUAGUGCUAGACAAUAAGAGCAGUAGUUUUGUGGGUAAAAAGAAAGGCUUGGCAAUAGACUGACCAGUUGAAAGGGCUGAUUAAGUACCGUAGUAUUGUUGAAUUAAAAGAGCAUUUCCAAAGGUCUAAAUUUUGCUGAAACGUGUGGAUGUGGUUUGUCAUUGCUGCUUGGUAAAAUCACACAGAUUGAUCUUUUACGGGUGUUGAUAAGUUUUAGGCCUCAGGGGAUGCUUCAUGAGAAGCACUAGGGGACAAUCGCGCCCACUCAGAGGACCUGUAAACCCUGAUAGGGGGACAGAACCUGGAUUUUAGGGGUGCCCAGAAGACCUAAAAGGGGGGUGUCAGCUGGUAGUGUCAGGGCCAGAACAAGAGCCAACCAUUGAAGUGAAAGUGAAUGAUAAACCAUUGACAGUUAUGGCAGAUUGCGGAGCUGCUUUCACCUGUGUUGAGAAUAAUUUUAAAGUGGGGAAAAGUUUCAUAAAAAAAAUCCUGAGUACACCCCAUAAUGUCCUCAAUGAGCUGAAUUUUUGAAGCCCAGAAUAGUUUCUGUAGCUCAAAGUUUGUGGGUGGAGAUAGGUGGUGAUGCAGACACAUAUUAACUGUGUGUACAUGCAGGUCUUUUAGACACACACACACGUGCACACACAUUGCCAGACUGUGUGUGUGUGUGUGUGUGUCGUUAAUGAUAGCAUCCUAAACAGCUGUGAGAUUAAAGGCAUUAACUGACCGACUGUUUGAAUGAGAAGCUGCCUCUGGACUUCUUCACAUAGCACGAUUUCCUUAUAACUAUAGUAAGGAAACAUUGAGCUCUGUGAGGAGAGGUGUGCUGAAGUUUGAGUGUGUGAGAGAAGCUUCUGGUGUGUGUGGGUGUGAGAGGAGUGUGUGUAUGGGUGCUGAGCUGUGUGUGUGAGGGCAAAAGAGUCUGUGUGCAGUGAGUGGUGUGUGCACAAAGUUGGGGAAUGGUCUAGCAUAAAUAUAAGUGAUUAACUUAUGAUAAAGUGAUGAAUGAUGUCUUAUUAAAUAUAUAAUGAUAUGAUAUAAGAAAUUAACAUAUAAGGGAAGAGAUACUGUUGCCUUUGUAGUGUUAAAAACAUAUGAGCCCUGUUUUUCUUUGUACAGGGACGUUAAUAGAAUAAGUAACUGCUAUGAGCCUCUCAGGAUAAAGAGGACGUUUGUACACCUAAUAGUAAGAAAUGAGCCCCUUAUUAGAUGAGGAGGACUUUGGAUGGUGAUAACAUCCUCGAUUAAAAUGGCAAUUAAAGAAGUGUACACAAGCACAUUUGUGUUCAUACAGAUACAGGGAAAAAACAGAGUAACAGAGUGGGGUAAAAUAAAAUGAUUUGCUAACUGAUGGGUAUGGUUUUCCUCUGUGUGUGUGUGAAUAUUUAAAGUGAAUGGUCACUUGCUGAUGAUUAUGUUUAGAGGGAAAAUCCCAGUUAAAAAUUGGAAAAAUCCAUGGAGCUUUCUCUCCCGCUUUCUUUCUCUUCUUGCAGGCCUGAGAACAGAAAGAAAGCUAAAAAAUCUAGUUUAACUAUCCUAGAUGUGUGAAAAUUUUAAAUGGUAUACCAUGGUAAAGGGGAAUGGUGUAUAAUAAAUUUAGGUAGUCUUAUGGUAGAAGAAAUCUUUAAUUAGUGGUAGGAAAUGUUGUUUUCAAGUUUAUUGAGUGAAUUGAUUGUAAUAUACUAAACAUUUGAUUUGUUCUUUGUCCCUAACUCUGAUGCAUGAGAGGAGAGAGGAGAAUGAAAGGCACCUGACGCUGGAGCGCCCAUCAGAGAGGCUCACCAGGUCCUGCUCCCAUUUGACAGGCCAGUACAGUUUUAUCUACAAACUCUUCUCCUAUGUGUCUGCUGCUACUUAGUUGUACAUACACACAUUUAUAGUGGGAACACAUUUAGUUGGGUGUAUAUAUUUAUUAGUGCUAGACAAUAAGAGCAGUAGUUUUGUGGGUAAAAAGAAAGGCUUGGCAAUAGACUGACCAGUUGAAAGGGCUGAUUAAGUACCGUAGUAUUGUUGAAUUAAAAGAGCAUAUCCAAGAGGUCUAAAUUUUGCUGAAACGUGUGGAUGUGGUUUGUCAUUGCUGCUCGGUAAAAUCACACAGAUUGAUCUUUUACGGGUGUUGAUAAGUCUUAGGCCUCAGGGGAUGCUUCAUGAGAAGCACUAGGGGACAAUCGCGCCCACUCAGAGGACCUGUAAACCCUGAUAGGGGGACAGAACCUUGAUUUUAGGGGUGCCCAGAAGACCUAAAAGGGGGGUGUCAGCUGGUAGUGUCAGGGCCAGAACAAGAGCCAACCAUUGAGGUGAAAGUGAAUGAUAAACCAUUGACAGUUAUGGCAGAUUGCGGAGCUGCUUUCACCUGUGUUGAGAAUAAUUCUAAAGUGGGGAAAAGUUUCAUAAAAAAAAUCCUGAGUACACCCUAUAAUGUCCUCAAUGAGCUGAAUUUUUGAAGCCCAGAAUAGUUUCUGUAGCUCAAAGUUUGUGGGUGGAGAUAGGUGGUGAUGCAGACACAUAUUAACUGUGUGUACAUGCAGGUAUUUUAGACACAGACACACACACACACACAUUGCCAGACUGUGUGUGUGUGUGUGUGUGUGUGUGUGUGUGUGUGUCGGUAAUGAUUGCAUCCUAAACAGCUGUGAGAUUAAAGGCAUUUACUGACCGACUGUUUGAAUGAGAAGCUGCCUCUGGACUUCUUCACAUAGUACGAUUUCCUAUAACUAUAGUAAGGAAACAUUGAGCUCUGUGAGGAGAGGUGUGCUGAAGUUUGAGUGUGUGAGAGAAGCUUCUGGUGUGUGUGUGAGAGGAGUGUGUGUAUGGGUGCUGAGCUGUGUGUGUGAGGGCAAAGGAGUCUGUGUGCAGUGAGUGGUGUGUGCACAAAGUUGGGGAAUGGUCUAGCAUAAAUAUAAGUGAUUAACUUAUGAUAAAGUGAUGAAUGAUGUCUUAUUAAAUAUAUAAUGAUAUGAUAUAAGAAAUUCACAUAUAAGGGAAGAGAUUCUGUUGCCUUUGUAGUGUUAAAAACAUAUGAGCCCUGUUUUUCUUUGUACAGGGACGUUAAUAGAAUAAGUAACUGCUAUGAGCCUCUCAGGAUAAAGAGGACGUUUGUACACCUAAUAGUAAGAAAUGAGCCCCUUAUUAGAUGAGGAGGACUUUGGAUGGUGAUAACAUCCUCGAUUAAAAUGGCAACUAAAGAAGUGUACACAAGCACAUUAGUGUUCAUACAGAUACAGGGAAAAAACAGAGUAACAGAGUGGGGUAAAAUAAAAUGAUUUGCUAACUGAUGGGUAUGGUUUUCCUCUGUGUGUGUGUGAAUAUUUAAAGUGAAUGGUCACUUGCUGAUGAUUAUGUUUAGAGGGAAAAUCCCAGUUAAAAAUUGGAAAAAUCCAGGGAGCUUUCUCUUCUUACAGGCCUGAGAACAGAAAGAAAGCUAAAAAAUCUAGUUUAACUAUCCUAGAUGUGUGAAAAUGUUAAAUGGUAUACCAUGGUAAAGGGGAAUGGUGUAUAAUAAAUUUAGGUAGUCUUAUGGUAGAAGAAAUCUUUAAUUAGUGGUAGGAAAUGUUGUUUUCAAGUGUAUUGAGUGAAUUGAUUGUAAUAUACUAAACAUUUGAUUUGUUCUUUGUCCCUAACUCUGAUGCAUGAGAGGAGAGAGGAGAAUGAAAGGCACCUGACGCUGGAGCGCCCAUAAGACAGAUGUUGCUGUGCUGCAACAAGAGGGGGCUUGCAGAUGAGAGGCUCACCAGGUCCUGCUCCCAUUUGACAGGCCAGUACAGUUUUAUCUACAAACUCUUCUCCUAUGUGUCUGCUGCUACUUAGUUGUACAUACACACAUUUAUAGUGGGAACACAUUUAGUUGGGUGUAUAUAUUUAUUAGUGCUAGACAAUAAGAGCAGUAGUUUUGUGGGUAAAAAGAAAGGCUUGGCAAUAGACUGACCAGUUGAAAGGGCUGAUUAACUACCGUAGUAUUGUUGAAUUAAAAGAGCAUUUCCAAGAGGUCUUAAUUUUGCUGAAACGUGUGGAUGUGGUUUGUCAUUGCUGCUCGGUAAAAUCACACAGAUUGAUCUUUUACGGGUGUUGAUAAGUCUUAGGCCUCAGGGGAUGCUUCAUGAGAAGCACUAGGGGACAAUCGCGCCCACUCAGAGGACCUGUAAACCCUGAUAGGGGGACAGAACCUUGAUUUUAGGGGUGCCCAGAAGACCUAAAAGGGGGGUGUCAGCUGGUAGUGUCAGGGCCAGAACAAGAGCCAACCAUUGAGGUGAAAGUGAAUGAUAAACCAUUGACAGUUAUGGCAGAUUGCGGAGCUGCUUUCACCUGUGUUGAGAAUAAUUCUAAAGUGGGGAAAAGUUUCAUAAAAAAAAUCCUGAGUACACCCCAUAAUGUCCUCAAUGAGCUGAAUUUUUGAAGCCCAGAAUAGUUUCUGUAGCUCAAAGUUUGUGGGUGGAGAUAGGUGGUGAUGCAGACACAUAUUAACUGUGUGUACAUGCAGGUAUUUUAGACACAGACACACAUGCACACACAUUGCCAGACUGUGUGUGUGUGUGUGUGUGUGUGUGUGUGUGUGUGUGUGUGUGUGUGUGUGUGUGUGUGUGUGUGUGUGUGUGUGUGUGUCGUUAAUGAUCGCAUCCUAAACAGCUGUGAGAUUAAAGGCAUUAACUGACCGACUGUUUGAAUGAGAAGCUGCCUCUGGACUUCCUCACAUAGUACGAUUUCCUUAUAACUAUAGUAAGGAAACAUUGAGCUCUGUGAGGAGAGGUGUGCUGAAGUUUGAGUGUGUGAGAGAAGCUUCUGGUGUGUGUGUGUGUGAGAGGAGUGUGUGUAUGGGUGCUGAGCUGUGUGUGUGAGGGCAAAAGAGUCUGUGUGCAGUGAGUGGUGUGUGCACAAAGUUGGGGAAUGGUCUAGCAUAAAUAUAAGUGAUUAACUUAUGAUAAAGUGAUGAAUGAUGUCUUAUUAAAUAUAUAAUGAUAUGAUAUAAGAAAUUAACAUAUAAGGGAAGAGAUUCUGUUGCCUUUGUAGUGUUAAAAACAUAUGAGCCCUGUUUUUCUUUGUACAGGGACGUUAAUAGAAUAAGUAACUGCUAUGAGCCUCUCAGGAUAAAGAGGACGUUUGUACACCUAAUAGUAAGAAAUGAGCCCCUUAUUAGAUGAGGAGGACUUUGGAUGGUGAUAACAUCCUCGAUUAAAAUGGCAACUAAAGAAGUGUACACAAGCACAUUAGUGUUCAUACAGAUACAGGGAAAAAAUAGAGUGGGGUAAAAUGGAAUGAUUUGCUAACUGAUGGGUAUGGUUUUCUUCUGUGUGUGUAUGUGAAUAUUUAAAGUGAAUGGUCACUUGCUGAUGAUUAUGUUUAGAGGGAAAAUCCCAGUUAAAAAUUGGAAAAAUCCAUGGAGCUUUCUCUUCUUACAGGCCUGAGAACAGAAAGAAAGCUAAAAAAUCUAGUUUAACUAUCCUAGAUGUGUGAAAAUUUUAAAUGGUAUACCAUGGUAAAGGGGAAUGGUGUAUAAUAAAUUUAGGUAGUCUUAUGGUAGAAGAAAUCUUUAAUUAGUGGUAGGAAAUGUUGUUUUCAAGUGUAUUGAGUGAAUUGAUUGUAAUAUACUAAACAUUUGAUUUGUUCUUUGUCCCUAACUCUGAUGCAUGAGAGGAGAGAGGAGAAUGAAAGGCACCUGACGCUGGAGCGCCCAUAAGACAGAUACGAAGAUAAAUGGCUGUGCUGCAACAAGAGGGGGCUUGCGGAUGAGAGGCUCACCAGGUCCUGCUCCCAUUUGACAGGCCAGUACAGUUUUAUCUACAAACUCUUCUCCUAUGUGUCUGCUGCUACUUAGUUGUACA
rnacentral:lncRNA from 1 species